rnacentral:lncRNA from 1 species
UUAUCUCAUGAACCACUCACGUUGUGACAUCUGAAGAUACGAGCAGAGGACGGAGGUAAUAUCGCCCAAGUACUACGAGAGUAAGCUAAGUUUAUCAGGUGGGCAUUAUUUUGAGUAUACAUAUUAUACGAGCUUUCUUAAAUGAUAUGAUACUUAUGAUUAUGAAUUGAGUUAAUGUUACGCUUGAAACUAAUUGACUUGCCGAGUUUUGUUAAUAAUGACUUGUGUGUUACCCUCUACUGAUGAGACGAAUUCGGUCCUGCCACAAGCGGGAUUUUGUGCACAGAGGUGACUGUGAGCCGUCUAUCGGGUCGGCCGGUCACGGUACUUGAGAGGGAGGCCUACUUCUCAGUACCUUUGAUGAUGAGUAGUGGAUGUGGUACAUACUUAAUGAAUAUUUAAACUGCGCAGUUACUUUUUUGUGAUGUUUAUGAUUUGCGAAAUUGCAUGCACAGGUUCUUCUCUAACUAAAACCCAUGUGUGUUGCUUAAUGUGGCAAGUUCAAUUUAUAGCUCUAAGAGCAAGCUUUCUUUUGUUUUUCGGCAUAUGUCCACUGAGUACUUUGUACUCAGCCCUGCAUGUAUUUCUAAAUGUGCAGGAUAAGCGAGGAUGGAGAAUGGUCUGGUGCUGGCGAGGAUUUUGUUCCGAUGUUAUCCUUUUACCGUAUUUAUAUUACAUACGGUAGCUUUUUGAUGUUGAUGUUUAUAUUUUGGACUUAGUCAAGAAGUAUACUCUCGGCUAUAUGUCUUCAUACAUAUAGUCUGUACACGUUUUGCUGCGAGACUCUGUAAAUUAUAAACCUUUAUAAAUUUUUAACUAUUUUCGCUUUGUAAACUUUAUCGAGAAUCCCUGUACUUUUGAACUUACGAAGCCGAUAAUAUUUGUGUCUUUGAGAUGAUGUUAUUGUUGUUCAUCCUUGCA